GACGAACGCUGGCGGCGUGCCUAAUACAUGCAAGUAGAACGCUGAAGCUUGGUGCUUGCACCGAGCGGAUGAGUUGCGAACGGGUGAGUAACGCGUAGGUAACCUGCCUGGUAGUGGGGGAUAACUAUUGGAAACGAUAGCUAAUACCGCAUAAGAGUAGAUGUUGCAUGACAUUUGCUUAAAAGGUGCAAUUGCAUCACUACCAGAUGGACCUGCGUUGUAUUAGCUAGUUGGUGAGGUAACGGCUCACCAAGGCAACGAUACAUAGCCGACCUGAGAGGGUGAUCGGCCACACUGGGACUGAGACACGGCCCAGACUCCUACGGGAGGCAGCAGUAGGGAAUCUUCGGCAAUGGACGGAAGUCUGACCGAGCAACGCCGCGUGAGUGAAGAAGGUUUUCGGAUCGUAAAGCUCUGUUGUAAGAGAAGAACGAGUGUGAGAGUGGAAAGUUCACACUGUGAC
rnacentral:rRNA from 1 species